GUCGGCGACUACAGGCGGAGGGAAACACCUGUUCCCAUCCCGAACACAGCAGUGAAGACUCCGCCGCCGAUGAUACUGCACCGCGGGAAAGUAGGUCAUCGCCGACU
rnacentral:rRNA from 1 species